AUUGAACGCUGGCGGCAGGCCUAACACAUGCAAGUCGAGCGAGCGGCGGACGGGUGAGUAAUGUAUGGGGACUGCCCGAUAGAGGGGGAUAACUACUGGAAACGGUGGCUAAUACCGCAUACUAUCGGAUAACCCAUAUGGGAUUAGCUAGUAGGUGGGGUAAAGGCUCACCUAGGCGACGAUCUCUAGCUGGUCUGAGAGGAUGAUCAGCACCACUGGGACGGAGAAACGGCCCAGACUCCUAGGGAGGCAGCAGUGGGGAUGAUUGCACAAUGGGGGCAAGGCUGAUUCAUCCAUGCCGCGUGUAUUAAGAAGGCCUUAGGUUUGUAAAGUACUUUCAGCGGGGAGGCGUUACCCGCAGAAGAAGCACCGGCUAACGCCGUGCCAGCAGCCGCGGUAAUA
rnacentral:rRNA from 1 species